AAAAAGAGAGGCAGAGAGGAGAAGAGACCAGAAGAAAAGUGGGGGAGGUCCACCACCAGCAAACUUAAAACCAUGGGAAGAUAAGAUAAUUUCUGUCCUGGAUGAUAGCAUGGUGGUUGGGAUAGAAGGUGGUUUUGACACUAGUGAAUGUGGAAAUAAUGAAUUUCCUAGAGCCACAUCUCAUGAUGUCUCCAAGUACAUAUCUGCACAUGCCUCCAAAACCAAGAAACUAGUUCCAGAGACUAUUCCUCCCUCAUUUGCUGGAGG